CCUACGGGUGGCUGCAGUGAGGAAUAUUGGUCAAUGGGCGAGAGCCUGAACCAGCCAAGUCGCGUGAAGGAUGACGGCCCUACGGGUUGUAAACUUCUUUUGUCAGGGAGCAAUUGGGUCCACGCGUGGGCUUAGCGAGAGUACCUGAAGAAAAAGCAUCGGCUAACUCCGUGCCAGCAGCCGCGGUAAUACGGAGGAUGCGAGCGUUAUCCGGAUUUAUUGGGUUUAAAGGGUGCGUAGGCGGAAUAUCAAGUCAGCGGUAAAAAUUCGGGGCUCAACCCCGUCGGGGCGUUGAAACGGAUGUUCUGGAGUGGGAGAGAGGUCAGCGGAAUGGGAGGUGGAGGGGUGAAAUCCAUAGAUA
rnacentral:rRNA from 1 species